GAUGAACGCUGGCGGCGUGCCUAAUACAUGCAAGUCGAGCGAACAGAUGAGGAGCUUGCUCCUCUGACGUUAGCGGCGGACGGGUGAGUAACACGUGGAUAACCUACCUAUAAGACUGGGAUAACUUCGGGAAACCGGAGCUAAUACCGGAUAAUAUAUUGAACCGCAUGGUUCAAUAGUGAAAGACGGUUUUGCUGUCACUUAUAGAUGGAUCCGCGCCGCAUUAGCUAGUUGGUAAGGUAACGGCUUACCAAGGCAACGAUGCGUAGCCGACCUGAGAGGGUGAUCGGCCACACUGGAACUGAGACACGGUCCAGACUCCUACGGGAGGCAGCAGUAGGGAAUCUUCCGCAAUGGGCGAAAGCCUGACGGAACAACGCCGCGUGAGUGAUGAAGGUCUUCGGAUCGUAAAACUCUGUUAUUAGGGAAGAACAAAUGUGUAAGUAACUAUGCACGUCUUGACGGUACCUAAUCAGAAAGCCACGGCUAACUACGUG
rnacentral:rRNA from 1 species